UUCAUCUCAGUCGGUGAUACUCGAUGGUAGAAAACAUCCACUUUAGCGUGUUAAGCCAGAUAUUAAGGAGUUGGCAACAUUUUUUCAUAGUUGGCCUAGGAUAGACCAUAAUAUAUCAUCAUGCAACAUGAUUUUUUUGCCACACGCAUUUCUUGGCAACUUCAUCUUGUUCACCAUCGACAAACAUGAGUGUCGUGUAUGUAUUUUAGACCCAUGUUCUGAACCUCUAUCAGAAGAGAGGUACCAACUAAAAUUACAAAGGUGUUCAUUCUAUCUGAAUGACGCUCUUGAGAUAGCGCAACCUGGCUGGAAUUCCGAUAUUUAUUUCUGGCCACGUAAAUAUCCUUACAAUAUCCCAAUACCAACAAGCCCCGACAGAAAAUUGUCUGGAUACUUAGUAUUUAGUUUUAUGCUUUCAUGGGAUGGUAAAAGAUUUGUUCAUCCAGUUUGCAGCGAUGGUUACGAGCUAAGAAAAAGGUUUCUGAUACACAUACUCAAGUAUCAGGCUAAUGAAGUUGAAGACAACAUUCCUGAGAUCGUGCGAGAAUACCUUAGACGCGUCAACGGACCAUGGCUUUAAUAAAUAGUGUAUUCAGUCAUUUCUCUUCUACAAAAUGAAUUGUG